rnacentral:rRNA from 1 species
UUGCUCUGUGGAUCAGUGGCGAACGGGUGAGUAACACGUGAGCAACCUGCCCUGGACUCUGGGAUAAGCGCUGGAAACGGCGUCUAAUACUGGAUACGAGACGUGGCCGCAUGGUCAACGUUUGGAAAGAUUUUUUGGUUCAGGAUGGGCUCGCGGCCUAUCAGCUUGUUGGUGAGGUAAUGGCUCACCAAGGCGUCGACGGGUAGCCGGCCUGAGAGGGUGACCGGCCACACUGGGACUGAGACACGGCCCAGACUCCUACGGGAGGCAGCAGUGGGGAAUAUUGCACAAUGGGCGAAAGCCUGAUGCAGCAACGCCGCGUGAGGGAUGACGGCCUUCGGGUUGUAAACCUCUUUUAGCAAGGAAGAAGCGAAAGUGACGGUACUUGCAGAAAAAGCGCCGGCUAACUACGUGCCAGCAGCCGCGGUAAUACGUAGGGCGCAAGCGUUAUCCGGAAUUAUUGGGCGUAAAGAGCUCGUAGGCGGUUUGUCGCGUCUGCUGUGAAAACUGGAGGCUCAACCUCCAGCCUGCAGUGGGUACGGGCAGACUAGAGUGCGGUAGGGGAGAUUGGAAUUCCUGGUGUAGCGGUGGAAUGCGCAGAUAUCAGGAGGAACACCGAUGGCGAAGGCAGAUCUCUGGGCCGUAACUGACGCUGAGGAGCGAAAGGGUGGGGAGCAAAC